UGAGCAAUCUGCCCUUCACAUCGGAAUAACCAUUGGAAACGAUGGCUAAUACCGAAUAUGACUUCGGAUCGCAUGAUCUGAAGUGGAAAGCUCCGGCGGUGAAGGAUGAGCUCGCGGCCUAUCAGCUUGUUGGUGAGGUAAUAGCUCACCAAGGCGAUGACGGGUAGCUGGCCUGAGAGGGUGACCGGCCACACGUGGGACCGAGACACCGGCA
rnacentral:rRNA from 1 species